AUUGAACGCUGGCGGCAGGCCUAACACAUGCAAGUCGAGCGGAUGAAGGGAGCUUGCUCCUGGAUUCAGCGGCGGACGGGUGAGUAAUGCCUAGGAAUCUGCCUGGUAGUGGGGGCUAACGUCCGGAAACGGGCGCUAAUACCGCAUACGUCCUGAGGGAGAAAGUGGGGGAUCUUCGGACCUCACGCUAUCAGAUGAGCCUAGGUCGGAUUAGCUAGUUGGCGGGGUAAAGGCCUACCAAGGCGACGAUCCGUAACUGGUCUGAGAGGAUGAUCAGUCACACUGGAACUGAGACACGGUCCAGACUCCUACGGGAGGCAGCAGUGGGGAAUAUUGGACAAUGGGCGAAAGCCUGAUCCAGCCAUGCCGCGUGUGUGAAGAAGGUCUUCGGAUUGUAAAGCACUUUAAGUUGGGAGGAAGGGCAGUAAGUUAAUACCUUGCUGUUUUGACGUUACCAACAGAAUAAGCACCGGCUAACUUCGUG
rnacentral:rRNA from 1 species